GUCAAAGAGAUGGUUGCCACUAUAGCC
rnacentral:sRNA from 1 species